CGGCGGCGACGCGGAGGGCCUAUUCUCCUCGCGCUCCUUUGCCGACCCCACACUCUGCAAGGAGGCUCCUCAUCUGAUCUGAGCAAAGAGGCAAAGUAGGGAAGCACACACCUUGGUUAUUAAGCAGCAGCAGCAACAGAUCCAAUGCUUUGAGAGAGGAGUAGUGAGGGUGUGGACUAUGAAAGAUGAGUAGCGAGGUUGCGGUGUUGAUGUGAAGUAAAUUUGUCGUUCCUCUACCUUAUAGCUUUGUUCCCAACGUCAUAAGAUUGUGACAGAGAAUGGUCCAGAUUACAAGCAAUUACCCUGUCGAUUAGUCCUAGGCCCGGCCGCGCAUCAGACCUAUAAAAAAGGGUUUAUUAGGAGCGCUGGCAUGGGUUUUCAAUCAUUAUUAAGGUUCCUAAUUAAAUCGUUAAAGAAUCCAAGGUAAUCAAAAAAAGGAGAUGCACUAUUCAAAUAUUUUUUCUUUCUUUUCUUUUCCACUUGAUAAUUGAUAUAUAUA
rnacentral:rRNA from 1 species